AGCGAACGCUGGCGGCAGGCCUAACACAUGCAAGUCGAACGGACCUUUCGGGGGUUAGUGGCGGACGGGUGAGUAACACGUGGGAACGUGCCUUUAGGUUCGGAAUAAGCUCGGGAAACUGGGUCUAAUACCGAAUGUGCCCUUCGGGGGAAAGAUUUAUCGCCUUUAGAGCGGCCCGCGUCUGAUUAGCUAGUUGGUGGUGUAAUGGACCACCAAGGCGACGAUCAGUAGCUGGUCUGAGAGGAUGACCAGCCACAUUGGGACUGAGACACGGCCCAAACUCCUACGGGAGGCAGCAGUGGGGAAUCUUGCGCAAUGGGCGAAAGCCUGACGCAGCCAUGCCGCGUGUAUGAUGAAGGUCUUAGGAUUGUAAAAUACUUUCACCGGUGAAGAUAAUGACUGUAGCCGGAGAAGAAGCCCCGGCUAACUUCGUG
rnacentral:rRNA from 1 species